GCAUCUAAAUCUUUCCUGAUCCUUGCAGGGCAGGGCAGGACUACAGCAAAGCAGAGGAGAUCAAGACAGGCUCCUUUCCAUUUGCACUGGGACUUGUCUCUACAACUCUGCAACAUUU